rnacentral:rRNA from 1 species
GACGAACGCUGGCGGCGUGCCUAAUACAUGCAAGUCGAACGCAGUGGGGACGGGUGAGGAAAACGUGGGUAACCUCCCAUCAGAGGGGAUAACACUUGGAAACAGGUGCAAAACCGAUACUGAUGGAUGGACCGGCGGUGAAUUAGCUAGUUGGUGGGGUAACGGCUCACCAAGGCCACGAUGCAUAGACGACCUGAGAGGGUGAUCGGCCACACUGGGACUGAGACACGGCCCAGACUCCUACGGGAGGCAGCAGUAGGGAAUCUUCGGCAAUGGACGAAAGCCUGACGGAGCAACGCCGCGUGAGUGAAGAAGGUUUUCGGAUCGUAAAGCUCUGUUGUUAGAGAAGCGGUAUCUAACCAGAAAGCCACGGCUAACUACGUGCCAGCAGCCGCGGUAAUUC